rnacentral:lncRNA from 1 species
GCUGCUCAGUUGUUAGUUGUAGGCGGGGCCUCUGAGGGCAACUUGGUCCACUAAAAGCAAAAGCAUUUAAUUUUAUUUUCCUAAACAAGAAAAUAUAUAUACAUUUGGUAAAUACAUAACAUAAAAAUAUGAAAUGUUUAAAAAUUAAGUAUGUUUUAUUCUUAUUAACUUCGCUGGCACAUGGCAUUACAUUUCGCGCCAGAAGUGGACUGCUUGAUUAUUAAUUAGCAUUUAGGCCUAAUACAUUUCUGAUAUAUGUACAAUUUUAUAUGAUAGUCGGGUAAAUAUUGAAAUAAGAAGUUGAAAUUGACCAAAAAUGACGCAUUCUCCAGCUUCAUUGUGGAAAGAUCGCGAAGGACUGGUGUUGUUUCUGGAGAUGAUGUUGCAGGCAGACGGGGCACUUGCCCUCAGACCAAAGGAUACGCUGACCUAGAGGGAGAUCGGCAGUGAACGCGCAUGCUAAAGCGGCAUGAAAGUUACAGCCCUCAUGUGGGACAAACAGCAGAGAAGGGCUUCACACCAGGCUGCACAUGCAAAAUUGACAAGAGGAUGUGGGGAAAAAAG